AUGGAGAGAUGUGUUCUACUGAUUCUCAUAACAGUACCAGGUGUAUUUGCUGACAGCAUUGAACCAAAAGUCAAGGACGAUAUAAUCAGUGAAGAAGGAGAGUCUGUGAAACUGAGCUGCUCAUAUGAUACAAGCAGCAGUUAUGUUAUGCUUUACUGGUACAAACAGUAUCCCAACAAUGAACCUCAGUUUAUAUUGCGUAAAGGUGCUCGAUCAUGGAGCGGUGAGGAUAUACCAGACCGUCGGUUUCAGACGACUACAGGCCAAAAAUCCACUGAACUCACUAUUAACAGUGUAACUCUGUCAGAUUCAGCUCUCUAUUAUUGUGCUCUAAGAGUUGGAGCCCAGUGA